GACGAACGUUGGCGGCGUGCUUAAUACAUGCAAGUCAACUGAAGCACCGGUAGUAAUACUGGUGUGGAGGUGGCGCACGGGUGAGUAACACGUAGGUAAUCUGCCUUCAGGUCUGACAUAACCCCGAGAAAUCGGGGCUAAUAGCAGAUGAUGCAGCGGCUUGACAUCAAAGACAGUUGUUAAAGCUUCGGCGCCUGAAGAUGAGCCUGCGUCUGAUUAGCUAGUUGGCGGAGUAAUGGCCCACCAAGGCUACGAUCAGUAACUGGUCUGAGAGGAUGAUCAGUCACACUGGAACUGAGACACGGUCCAGACUCCUACGGGAGGCAGCAGUAAGGAAUAUUGCUCAAUGGGAGAAAUCCUGAAGCAGCAACGCCGCGUGAGGGA
rnacentral:rRNA from 1 species